rnacentral:lncRNA from 1 species
GCUCCGUGGACCUCCCAGCGGGGCUGCUUUCUGAGGUGAUGGUCUCCUCGCUCCUUAGCCAGCCUGGUGGAGCCAGCUACUGACGUUGGAAAGGAGUUGGAGGAUGGAGGUUUGUGGCCGGCAAAUGAGAGGUGUCGGGGAGGGAGAAGAGAAAAGCAAGCGGGCUGAGGAAAAAUGUAAGGGAGGGAGAUGGUUCUUCGAUGAAACCUCUGGCCUCUUUUAAACCAUAAAGAGGUCUGGCUGGUUUGAUUCCAGUCCAUAAAAUGGCUCAGUAGGAUCUUAGGGAUUAUUUAGCUCAAACCCCUGAGAGGUGAGGAAACUGAGGCCCAGAGGUCCCACUUGCCUUUGGUCAUGGGGUGAGUAUGUAGCCCAGCAGGGUCCCAGCUCCUGUGAGCUGCGAUUCAUGGUGUUAUCUUUGCUGGGGAGGCCUGAAGUUCCUUUAGCUUGUCCAUGUGAAACAGAGGAAGAGCCCACAAGGAACGCAUUCAUCUCAGAGUUAGGUGACCUUGGCUUUGGGAUCUAGUUGCUCAUUACUUCCACUUUCCUUGCCAACAUCUUUCCUAAGCCUUCCAGAUCAGGGCACAGUACCACUCCCUUGCUGCCAGACAGGUGGCCUGUCGUGUGGGCAGGAAGGGGAGUUCAAGGCAAGCAAGGCCCACUGUGAACCCCCUGCUAGAAGUGCUCUCCCCUUCCUUCUUUUGGAGGUGGCAGUUACUAGGCAGCAUGACCCAGAGGAGGAGAUAAGCUGCCUCUGAUAGGAAGGUUUUAUCUUUGAGGUUAUUGCAAAUAUGCCUGACUUCUUCAUCUGGUUCUGUCCGGAUCUGAACUGGUAGCCAGAUAAACUGUUGGCGGUCCCAUUUCAUGUAUUUAUCAAGUCUAAACAAUUGUCAGGAGGCAAUUAUCCCCCAGGAAGCCAAUGGCAGAUAAAUAGUGUCCCGCAGUCUGGUUCCAGCCAUGGAAUCUGUAAGUUGUCCCUCCUUGCCCUGUGCAGAUUUUCUCCUCUGUCCCUGCUGCCCUAAAUUUUAAAGGAGGUUUGAUGUUCCAACACGUUUGCUUUGGUGUUCUUUGCCCACAGCCCCAAAUAAAAUCUAAUGGUUUUUAUAGGUGGAUAAAUCCUUUUUAAAGGCUCUUUUGUUAUCACCAUGGGGUUUGUGAGCACUAAAACUGGAUUUUAAGGGAUCAGUGAAACCUUAGAAUCACGGUUUGCUGUAUCUGGAAGGAACCAUGACCACUUGGUACAGACCCUUCAAGCGGUAGAUGAAGAGGCCAAAGCACGAAGGGAUUUGAUGGCUUGUGAAGGCAACGUGCUCUUCAGAGUCGGGCAGACGUGCAGCUGAAGCUUGGUCUGGCCACUGAUCUGCUGCCCGGCCUUGGGUAAACUCCUGGAGCCCCUAUUUCCUUAUUGAUUACAUGGAGAUACCAAUCCAGACUGCACAGUAUUGUGAGAGGUAGUAAAACUGUUUCCCUCUGGUCGAGGUCAAACAGACAACUGGGGGGCAGAGCUAAUGCCAGAACCUUAGUAUCCUGGCUCCCAGGUCUUUAUCCUUUCCAUUAUUCUGCAGGAGGUCUUCAGGCUACUGUUAAAUAAAAAGUAAAGCUUCUACUUCGUUCCACCCAAAAUUCUAGUUCAGUGUUUCCCAGACAGAGCACCUCCAGCGGGUCUGAGGCUCAGUUCUAUGUGGAGACUCAUGUUUAUACGAUGACAGCAUCUAUAUUUUUUCUGGAUGAACUAAUAAUCGACUGGCCAUUGUAUUUAGGAAAAACCAGACAUCACCUCAUGGACGUCUCAUUGAAGGGGACCGUCAGUUAUUCCAUUCAUUCUGGCAAAUUUUCUUUUUAGCUUUGGUUGCAGCAGGAAGAGAGAGACGUCUGGGGGGCUUUUUGCCUGUUGGAAGGGCAUCACUCGUCCACAGCUGGAGCCCCUGGGAUGACCCAUCCCAAGGUCCCAGCCUAAGUCUGAGGUUCCAGGGCUGGUCGCAGGCCGUCCUUGCAGCCCUCGCCAGAGCGUUGUCUGCACCUCCGACACUAGGUGGCGCCAUAGGAACAUCCUCGCGGCCCGAGGCGCGGUCGCAGCCGGGGAGCACUCGCCACGGUGCUGUGGAAUUCUCUGGUUUUUCACGCAAGGUCAGGCGUCCUGCUGGCGCCCUCUCGCCACCCUGCCCUCCCGUCAGAAGCCCGGCUCCUCGCCGGGGAAGGCCGGAUGCUGGCCCGCCGGGACCUGGGACUUGUGCCACAUGGAGUGUCGGGAGUCUCCAUUGCCGCGAGUUCUACACCACAGGGCCAGGCUGUUUGCUCCCCAUCGGUCGCUGCCCCCAGCACCCUGUUGUUAUUAAGGACUCAUUUGCUUGGAGCGGCAUCAUUACAAGGGUGUGGGGUACUACAUAUACUCCCUAUUUUUCUAUUUUCGAAAGGCUGCAGGCGCGAUGCACAGUGCGCUUGCACGGUGGGGCCUAGUGCUAGCCCGAGGAGCGGACGGGGGCCGGGCAGGGGCGGUGGGCGCCGGCCUCGUCUCGGUGCUGCUCGGUCAGGCUGUCCCGGCGCGGCGGCCUCGGGAGGCCCUGCCGUCCUUCACCCCUGGAGGCGGGCUGGGGGGCGGGUGCGGGGCGCUUCCCCUCCUCAGGGCCCUCAAACCGCAAGGGGGUUUCCGCUUCCCAGUCGAUGGUCGUCCUCUCCCAUCCCCGGCUGCAUCUCCAUUUACCCGUCGCCCAUUUCCUUUGCCCAUCCAGGCUCCUUGGCUCCACUGGGGUCUCCGUUCCCUUCUCCCGGUCCCCCCUCCAGGUCGCGGCUCCUUUGUCCAGGACUACGCAGGGGCUUGACCCCAGGGCGCUGGUUUAGGCCGGAUCUGGGGUCCCUUGUCACUCCCAGGCUUCUUCCACUUCCGAAUUCUGGAGAACCGGGAAUCAAGCCCUGCGCGUUCCUCUUCUUCCUCCUUCGUGCCGAAAGCACGCUUCAUGUCUGCCAGGGCAUCAGUUCUGAAAGUGAGCGGAGAACAAGGAGUUUCUUUUUCUUCCCCAGAAGUUGCCUUUUGUAAGGACUAUGUCUGCGCCAGGGCUUGAUACAUGUUGCUACUCCUGGGAGUGUGAGACUGGGAAGCUGAUGGAAAUGUCAGCAUUAGCUUUAAUGGUGAGGCCAAAGGGAGGAUGGACCCAGCAUCAAGCCUGGGUAGAGGAGAACGGGAGAGGGAGGACCAGAACCAGGGGCCGCCUGUUCACUGCCUUGAGGUGUCUGAAUCCUGCCUUUGCUGUUUGUGAGCUCUAGCACUAUGGGUAAGUUGGUUAACUUUUUGAGCCUCAGUUUCCUGUUCUGUCAAGUGGGAAUACAACUUCCUAGCUCACAGAGUUGUGGUGAGGAUUAUGAACUAUUAUGCAUCUACAGUGUCCUCCUGGCAAGUGAAAAGGCUCAGUAAAGGGUAACUGUUAUCAUGGUCCAGUCUAAACUUCCGUGCUAGCCCUUCACCAAAUUGAUCUUACAGAAAUCAAAAGGUUCCUGCUUUUCCCACCUUGUUUGGAAUUAGAAAAAACUUCCCCUGCACUAUUAGUGUUUUAUAGGCCUCUUCUCUCCAAGACAGAAAGGAGGAGAGGGUAACGGGGCUUAUUUUCUUCUCCCAGGACUCUUGAAGAAGGAUUCAGGAUGUGGCUGUGCCGCUGGGGAUAAACGGUGUAACACUGGGGCAGGUCAGUUUCCUUGUUGGUACGAUGGGACUCUUACACAGGCCCCUUCCUUUCCAGCACCAGAUACUGCUACACCAUCUCAUCGGCAUGGACCUAUAUGUGGCAGCAAGUCCAUCUCAUCGCUUUUGGUGAAAGUCAGUCCAGUUUGUAAAGAUUCUCAUUGUCACUGUAGACGAGGAACUGGGACACCAAAAGGAGAAACUCUGGCCACGCUUGCACCCUGUUCCCAAUCCUGGUCCAGUGUCACCCACAGAUGGUAAGGAGCUCUAGAGACCUCACCAGCCCCUGGGAUUGGUCACCUCACUCUUCUAUGGACAGAGAUUCCUGCUGGGAUCCUUUGAGGGCAAGCAGACCCUUCUUCCAGCUCGGACUGUGAACUCCACUGCAGCCGUAAGGACUGUCUGUGACAGUGAGCCCGAGAUGACUGGGCUCUGUGCUCCCUCCCGGCCCUCCAAUCCUUGGCCUGCCACAGAGAACUGAGCUCUUUUAUUAGCACCAUGAAUGUGACUGAUACAGCUAGCCAUUCCCUUGUGCGAAUGACUCAGUUUAUUAAUGCUCUGCUAAAGAUGGCUUCUUUGCUUGCCAGCAGCCUUAAACAGUAUUUCAUUAAAACUGGCUUAAUUAUUUUGAGAAGACGGCCCAAUUAAAAGCUAUACACUCCCUCUAUGUGAGUGUUUAUACAUAGAGCUGUAUAUAUAAUACAUAUUUGUAAGUGUGUAUAUAUA